GAAGGAUCAUGUCACCUUCCCUUAAUCUCUUACUUUCUAUUAGUCCCUGCAUUAAAGUGCAUAUAUGAGUACUCGAAUCAGAGUCCAAUAUCCAACUAGAAGUGGAAGAAACUAUAAGAUUAGAUUCAACUACGAGCAUAUCUUCUGAAGAUUUGUCAUCCUUUUUGAUCUUCAGGCUCUCCAGAUAGAGAGGACAGCUCCUUCUCUAGUGGCC
rnacentral:lncRNA from 1 species